rnacentral:tmRNA from 1 species
GGGGGCGAUCAGGUUUCGACGUGGUCGAUUCUCCGGUUGAGCUGCAAGCCGAGGUCCCCGGUCGGCCUCGUAAAACAACCGGGAACAACCGUAAGUGCGAAGAACAACGACGCACUCGCUCUCGCUGCCUAAACCACAG